rnacentral:lncRNA from 1 species
GGAGGGUUGACGAUUAAAGACAAACAUCAAUAAAUACACAAGAAGACAAAUAAGUUGUUCAUUAAUGACAAUGACUGCUGUUACAUCCAAAAUUGGCAAUGGCUAUCAGUACGAGGUUACAAGAGGAAAGUUAAUACGAAGUUACAAAAAGAAAAGUUAAGGUAUUAGAUGUCUUAAUUACAAUUCGCCCCAGACCGAACGAAUUCUUUCUCUAAGUCUCCUCCAAUCCUCGCUCUGUUGAGAAGAAGUGACAUUCAAUUCAGCUACAUAAUUAUCAUCAACCUCCAGCUUCUUGUACAGCUCGACCAAAGACUUGGUUCGUUCAAUUCCUUGGAAAGCAUUAAGCUUUUUAGCAGCCAUUCUCGCCUUGUAGUCAUCCAUCCUUGCUUGAAACUCCUUCAUCUGUGCAGCCAAACUGGUCAUCAAAGAGUCUUCAAUCAUAACUUCGGAACAGAUUUCUUUCAAUUCGUUCUCAGCUUUGUUGAUCUCUCGAAGCAAAGACUCUCUUUCAGAAGCAGCGCAAAGAUAUUGAGUACUCUUGGCUUUCAGUCCAAUAUUAUUUGCCAGCAAAGAGAGGAUGUCAAAGUGGACAACUUUCAACGUCGCUUUAAAAUCAGCAGAAAUGUUGAGCGACGGAAGUGUCAGUGCUUGCGCCAACUUCGCACUCAAAUACUCAAGUUUAUCUUUAUGUUUGACAGCACUAGCCUGACCGAUGUCCAUAUCCAUAAAAGAUACAUACUCAAAUAUCGACUGCUUGACGAACUUCAUGUCUUCCUCUGAAGAAGCACAAGGACGACCGGUUGAAGCAGGGCGAGACGUUUUGAUUUGCCCCCAGAAAGUGAACAAGUCCUGGAUGGAACGCACAAUCUCAUCAGCAUCCUGCAAAGAAAAAUGCCAACGUUGAAG